GACGAACGCUGGCGGCGUGCCUAAUACAUGCAAGUCGAACGCUUUUUCUUUCACCGGAGCUUGCUCCACCGAAAGAAAAAGAGUGGCGAACGGGUGAGUAACACGUGGGUAACCUGCCCAUCAGAAGGGGAUAACACUUGGAAACAGGUGCUAAUACCGUAUAACACUAUUUUCCGCAUGGAAGAAAGUUGAAAGGCGCUUUUGCGUCACUGAUGGAUGGACCCGCGGUGCAUUAGCUAGUUGGUGAGGUAACGGCUCACCAAGGCAACGAUGCAUAGCCGACCUGAGAGUGUGAGCGGCCACACGGGGACUGAGACACGGCCCAGACUCCUACGGGAGGUAGCAGUAGGGAAUCUUCGGCAAUGGACGAAAGUCUGACCGAGCAACGCCGCGUGAGUGAAGAAGGUUUUCGGAUCGUAAAACUCUGUUGUUAGAGAAGAACAAGGAUGAGAGUAAAACGUUCAUCCCUUGACGGUAUCUAACCAGAAAGCCACGGCUAACUACGUGCCAGCAGCCGCUGUAA
rnacentral:rRNA from 1 species